UAGGGAGCUUCUAGCUGAGCUAACUGAGGUAGGGAGAGACCCACCCUCAGUGACGAUAAGGGCACUCUGGGCCGCUGUCCUAGACCGAGUACAAAGGAGAAGGAGAGCCAACCAUCAGCACUUACUGCUCCUGUCUUCCCAACGGAAAGUGACCAGAUGCUCCUGCAGCCGUGUCUUCCCCGCCACGAUGGACUGUGUCCCGCAAGCUGUGAACCAGCAUAAACUCUUCCUGGGGUUGCUUCUGUGACCAGGCACCUUGGCCACAGUGAUGAGGUCCAAGUAAAAAAUUCGGCUCCCCUCCUUGGACAGUGACAGACUCAGUGGAGAAGGCACAGCUUGGCGUGAAGGUCGCACAUGGGGGUAACUUUCAGAGCCAGAGCCAGAGGACCUGUCUCAGAGCCAUUGUGGACCACUACUCGUGGACUCUCAAGUUUCACUGCUAAUAGGGAGUCAAGUGUCCUGGGAAACACGCUCCAAUCAAUACAGGGCCAGCAGCCCAGGCACUCAUACCCCAGGGCGCGUGUUUAUAUGGAACAUGCUUGGAGAGAUUUGCAGAUUUCCGUUUGCAAGCCUGGAUCUAAGGAGCUAAAGCUGAAGCGCAUCCCACGGCCAUGUCCCUUCCUGGUGUGGUUUCUUCUCUGGAGAGAAGAUGCAUCUGGGCUAGCCCAGGUGUCCUGCUUUAGUUACCCAGUGGUAAGGGACACUCUGUAUAUGAUACUCUAACCCAAACCCAAAGAAUUUACCUAACGCAGCUAAUGAUCUAAAAGUCUCGUUUGGCCAAGCCUAAGUAAACUCCCUCCUCUUCCUAGACACAGCUCUUUCUUUCAUCACAUUUUCUGGGCCAAGUGACAUGAAAGGAGACCACACCAACAGGGCCCCCACCAACUUCACUAGGCUUAAAUGGUUAUAAAAAUACAUCCGAGAAUUCUAAAUAUAUCACAUAUUAAUG